UACGAGAGGCCCAAACGUUAUUCGGAUUUACUGGGCUUAAAGAGUUCGUAGGCGGCGCAGCAAGUCGGGUGUGAAAGCCCUCGGCUCAACCGAGGAAUUGCGCCCUAAACUACUGUGCUUGAGGGACCUAGAGGUGAGCAGAACUGAUGGUGGAGCGGUGAAAUGCGUUGAUAUCAUCAGGAAUACCGGAGGCGAAGGCGGCUCACUGGGGGUCUUCUGACGCUGAGGAACGAAAGCCAGGGGAGCGAACGGG
rnacentral:rRNA from 1 species